AUAUUAUACAUCCCAUAUUGUCUUUGAAGUUGCUUGCUCCGUUAUAGCUUGAAAGUUCUUUGGAUCCAUCAACAAGCCUUUAUUGGAUAUAACAUAUCUAAGAACUUUUAUUUUUUACUGAUAGAAUAUAUAUUUUUAAAAUUUGGCAUAUAAUCUUACAUUUUAUAACUUUUUAAGACUAAUUGCAUAUAUUCUUUGUAUUCUUCAUGAGACUUAGAGUAGAUUAAGAUAUCAUCAAGAUAGUAGAUAAUAAAUUUAUUUAAGAAUUCUCAAAAAAAAUAUUUUUUAAAUAUUAAAAUAUAACUAAAAUAUUUUUCAAUCCAAAAUACAUGAUAUUACAUUCAAAAUUCAUACUUUGUCCAAAAUUCUAUCUUCCGUUCUUUAAUCUAUAAUAAAUUGUAUGCUCAAUGGAGAUCUAUUUUGGUAUAGAUCUUAGCUUGAUUGAAUUGUUUCAAAAGCCUUGAUAUCAAUAGUAAUGGAUUAUGUUUUUUCA
rnacentral:lncRNA from 1 species